GAUGAACGCUAGCUACAGGCUUAACACAUGCAAGUCGAGGGACCGGCGCACGGGUGAGUAACCCGUAUACAACCUGCCAUUUACUCGGUGAUAGCCUUUCGAAAGAAAGAUUAAUACACGAUGUAAAGGAUGGGGAUGCGUUCCAUUAGGUUGUUGGUGAGGUAACGGCUCACCAAGCCUUCGAUGGAUAGGGGUUCUUAGAGGAAGGUCCCCCACAUUGGAACUGAGACACGGUCCAAACUCCUACGGGAGGCAGCAGUGAGGAAUAUUGGUCAAUGGGCGUUAGCCUGAACCAGCCAUGCCGCGUGUAUGAAGAAGGCCUAGGGUUGUAAAGUACUUUCAGUCGGGAGGCGUUACCGACAGAAGAAGCACCGGCUAACUCCGUGCCAGCAGCCGCGGUAAUUC
rnacentral:rRNA from 1 species